UAUAGUGACGAUGGUGACGGUAGUUCGCCGGUGGUCAGCAGCCACAUCUUUGAGUGACGACUAGGGUUCCGAAGAACGAACCGGGUGAUGUGAUGGGGUAACGACUUCAGUCAAGGUAAGGUAACGGAGGAUCGAAGGUGGUAUACGAAGUGUCAUCCGCAUUUUCCGCCUGCUCUUCUCCUCUACUCCUCCGGCAAGGGACUCCUUAUCACUUUUCGAGGUGCGGUUGCUCUAUUCCCUGCUAUUUCUCUCAACUGGUCUGAUUGCAAGGGUUUUUUCUUUUCGUAUUCUGAUUUGGUUCAGGUGCAUUGCCUCCAUUUCAGUUCAGCUAUUUGAGAAAUAGGAAAUCAUUAUCUGAGUUUUGGCGGGAUUGUCCUAUUCUGGCUGAUAAUUCAAAGGAGCAUAAUUGCAUGCCUUAUGAACAUUAUACCGCAACAUUACUUGCACAAAAAGGCCUUGAAGGAGAACCCACAAAUAGGAGUUUAACUCACACUUCAUGGGUAUCUCAUCAAGCAAAGGUCGUGAAAGGCAAGGAUGGCAUCCUAUGACGGCCAAAUCUACAAAUUUGUUGUUGCUACUCCCAUUAUUCAUUCAAUGGUCUCAUUCACACUUGAUCACAAUAAGGUGGUUCAUGACGAGUGCCCACCUACCGAAUAAAAGAAGCAAGUUAGUACACAGAGUCUUCCCUCGCCCAAUUAACCUGCUUUGCUUCGCUCGCUUCCAUUUUGUUUCUAUACUUUAUUGGUCUUAUAAUACCUUUUGUUUAUAUUCAUGGUAGUUGUUGAUAUUUUUACUUAGCGUUAAAGUUUAUGUAUAAGAAAUCUAUGAUGUUAAUAAUGGCAGACUGGUUGUAAUCUA